UGGGGAAUAUUGCGCAAUGGACGAAAGUCUGACGCAGCGACGCCGCGUGGGGGAUGAAGCAUUUCGGUGUGUAAACCCCUGUUGCUCGGGACGAACAAGCCUUUUCGAGGGCUCUGACGGUACCGGGUGAGGAAGCACCGGCUAACUCUGUGCCAGCAGCCGCGGUAAUACAGAGGGUGCGAGCGUUGUCCGGAAUCACUGGGCGUAAAGGGCGCGUAGGCGGCCGAUCAAGUGUGUGGUGAAAGCCCAGGGCUCAACCCUGGGUCUGCCGUGCAAACUGGUUGGCUAGAGCACUGUAGAGGCAGGUGGAAUUUCGGGUGUAGCGGUGGAAUGCGUAGAGAUCCGAAAGAACACCGGUGGCGAAGGCGGCCUGCUGGGCAGUAGCUGACGCUGAGGCGCGACAGCGUGGGGAGCAAACA
rnacentral:rRNA from 1 species